GUGGUUGACCUAGCUACAUUAACAGGUGCUUGUAUAGUUGCACUUGGGCCCAGUAUUGCAGGUACAGUGAUUACUGACUUUAAUUAUAUAUAUUCCAUGAGUUUAACUAUGCUAUUGUGGUAAUUUUGAAUGAAAUCUAGCCAGAGGGUUACUUAAUAAACUUAAUGAAAUCUAGCCAGAGGGUUAAUUAAUUCUAUUUGUUGAAUAUCCGUUUAUAUCCGUGAUCAUAUCCGAUUCGAUUCUCAAAUAUCCGAACCGUAUCCGUUUCCGAUAAGUGCGGAUAUGGUUAAGGUUUUUUCUUACCGAAGAUGAUCUGUAUCCGUUUAUAAAAAGCGGAUAUGGAUAUGGUAAAUGUCAUAUCCGAACCGUAUCCGCUCCGAUAACACCCCUAGCUCCAGGUCCUUCUUUAUCUCUUUGCUUCAACUUUUAGCCCUAAUCCUAAAACCCUAAAAUCUUGUUUUUCCCCUUGAUUUGAUUUGAAUUUUGGCGAUCAGAGAGCUCUGGCGGUGGGAAACCUUCGAAUCCCCCUCUCUAUCGUUCAGCAAAUGAGCAGGAUGUAUGAUUUUGAUAUGAAUGGGACUAUGUUGAAGGUGGAUUGAGAUUUAUUCUCUUCGGAAAAUUUUGGUGUUUUAGUUUUUUUUUUAAUUAUUCUUUGCUUGCAUUUAGUUAGCUUCUUCUUUAUGCAAUUUUGAUUAGUUAAAGUUUAUUACUGCUACAUUAACUUAUAUGUGUUCUAUUGUUGAACACGACCCUUAAAACGUAUGAAUGCCUGUUGUUGUGAAGCUACUAGAAAAUUGUCCCUGUUUAUGUAAUUUUAUUGGUCUUUUCUUGCAGAAUUUGUCGCUCUUAACAAGUUUCUUUCUAAGGUGAGUAUUUCUACUAAGUUUUUAGUAAGUUUGGGAUGAUACAUUUCAAACUGUGUUACACUUGUCAUUCAUUAUGUGCAUGUUAUUCUAUCGUGUCUCAUUUAUUUAACACUAUGCUUACAUGAGGGAUCGUACAUUUUUAAUACAAUGUCAAAUAUACUUAGAACCUGUGAAUAUAUGUUUACGUACAAUAUUGAUAUACUUUGGACACUUUAGUUUUAUUGAAGGAACUCAGACAGAUCCUUCAUCUUUAGUAUCUUGAGUUGGUAUUUUAGCAUUAAUAUGAUAGAAGGAACCAUGUGAAUAUCUUGAAUGUUCUAAAGACAGAAUAAACAUACUAAAAGUUCAAAUGGUAUAUCAACGUGGUGCAAGGUCAAGAGCAUGGAUAUUGUCUUGGGGCUAGGUUGUACUAAACAUUUCAUUCUCUAUUUAUUUUCUUGCUUGUAUGCAUCACAGUUAGAUGUGUUUGUUUAAGUUCUUAUUGAUAGUUUUCUUUGUCUUCACAAUGAUGAGCACCAUAUAUUCUCAAGGAAUUUAGGAAAUGCCAUAAUUGGAUUUAUGACAGUUAAUUUCUCCUUAGAUAUGUGUUUGACUUAUGUUUUUAGUAAGUUUGGGAAUUAUUUGAUUAUAUAUUUCAUUUGAUUAAACGGAAAUAGAAAACAUAAUACUUUUCUUCUUGAUGCACGUUUUUAUUUGUAAAUAUGAUAUUCUCAUCUAGAACCAAAUUCAUAACAAGUGUGAAGUUUGACCUCGUGGGCUUUGAUAUGAUUUCACUAUAGAAUUUACUAUUAGAGUGUCAAUUUUCUCAACUGUAAUUAAUAUAUACAUAUACAAAAUAACUAAUUUAGUUGGGUCAUAAUGACAAACAUGUAUACACAAGAAUCAAAAGUCUUUUAACUUCACAAUUACCCAUCAAUGAGACUAUACUAUAAGCAAGGUGGCAAAAUAUCACUUCCCUCUUUCUUCUUCUUGUUCGUCUUCUCGAACUGCUUUGAUUAUGCAGAACUCGUGCCUUCAUGAGGAAGACUCCAUAGUGAUAUUGAUCUAUGUUCACUAGUUGCUAAAGAAGACAUUACAUCUUAGCCUAAGAAGGACAAAGAAGAAUAUAGAACAUGAACUAAAAUGUACUCAAAUAAGCAUGGAAAGGUAAAAGAGUAAUCUUUGUCUUAAAUUAACUCAAAGCAGCAUAACCCUCAAUGUUCGAGGUGUCUCGUCCGAUUUACAUGCUAGGUAUAAACAUGCAGCGACAAAUUUAGUUGGAUCCCUACUUUGGCAGCCUCCGAUUACUUUCAUAUUUCUAUAGUUAUCCUUGGCAGAGUCCUUUAAAAAAUUGUUUAAUUUAGAACCACAACUGAACAGACAUUGAAACUUACGAUGAUCUUAGAGAAGUUAACAGAACAAGGAAUUCAUGAAUGGAAUUUGCAUGGAGGGAGUUAGGAAAUUUGUACCUUCAUGCGUGAUACAGCAGGCAACCGGUUACAAGCAAACAAAGUGAUCAGAAACUAAUCUUUUCGAUAAAACACCGUUCUUUUUGGAUUAAUUAUAUUCUUUUGGUUAAUUAUUAUGAAAGCACUCGAGGUUUGACCUACCAUUUCAUACCUCUUCUUCACAAAGCUCCUCAUUUAUUUUAAAUUCCUCUUUCAACGUGUGUUACACGCAAUUUUUAAACAAAAUUAACAAUGAAGAUAAUGGUAGGAGGGGUUAUAAUAAGAAAAUAACAAUUGGGGCAUCCUAAUAAUUAAUUAGACUCUGAUGGUUUCGUAAUAAUUAGUUUUUUAUUUUAGUUUUUUCAAGAACCUCAUUUACCAAAAUAAGAUUUCUACAAAAGCCCUUUUCUUUUAGCCAAGAACUCUAAAAAAACUUCUGAGAUGCUAUCACGGAUGCAUAGAACAUGAAAGAUGAAAAAUUACGACGUUAUUAAGAACAGUGCUAUCAACUAGUCUAAUAAUCUGAUGCAUCAAGAACUCAAAUUCAACAUGAAUACAAAACUCAGCGAAAAUGAAGAAAAUAACAAUUAAACAUCCUAGUAAUUGAUCAAACUCUGAUGGUUACAUAACGAUUAGUUAUUUUAUUUUAUUUUUCAAGAACCCAAUUUACCAAACAAGAUUUCUAUAAAAACCUUUUUCUUUUUGCCAAGAACUCGCUGAAAAAUCUUCGGAGAUGCUAUCAAGAGCAUAUUGAAAAAUGAAAGAAGAGGACUUGUGAUAUUAUCAAGAACAAUGCUAUCAGUCUAAUAAUCUGAUACGUCAAUAACUCAAAUUCAGCAUGAAUAUAAAACUCAACGAUGAUGAAGAAAAUAACAGUUGGGCAUCCUAAUAAUUGACCGAACUUUGAUGGUUUCAUAAUAAUUAGGUUUUUAUUUUAUUUUUUUCGAGAACACAAUUUACCAAAACAAGAUUUCUACAAAAACCCUUUUCUUUUUGCCAAGAACUCGCCGAACAAUCUUCACAGAAGCUAUCAAGAAUGCACUGAAAAUGAAAGAUGAGGACUUUUGAUGUUAUCAAGAACAAUGCUAUCAACUAGUCUAAUAUCUGAUGCAUCAAGAAAUCAAAUUCAGCAUGAAUACAAAGGAAAGAAACAUAAAACUCAAUGAAGAUGAAGCAAAAUGAAACACACCUGUCUCCAAUGCUAUCAAUUAGCCUAGAAAUCUCAUCAUCAAGGUCGAUCUGAAUCAUUGCAGCAACCUCAGGAACAACAGAGACAUUGUUCGGAUCAUCAUCACCAAGCAUCCUCUCAGCAUUGAAGACAAUUCUUUCCUCAAGAACUAAACCGCACUCUGAACAGAUUUUAUCCGCAUUGAAGACAUCUGUUCAAAGUGCGGUUUAGUUCUUGAGGAAAGAAUUGUAGAGGAUGCUUGGUGAUGAUGAUCUGAACAAUGUCCCUGUAGCUCCUGAGGUUGCUACAAUGAUUCAGGUCGACCUUGACGAUGAGAUUUAUAGGCUAAUUAAUAGCAUUGGAGACAGGUGUGUUUCAUUUUGCUUCAUCUUCAUUGAGUUUUGUGUUUCUUUCCUUUGUAUUCAUGCUGAAUUUGAAUUCUUGAUGCAUCAGAUAUUAGACUAGUUGAUAGCAUUGUUCUUGAUAACAUCACAAGUCCUCAUCUUUUUAUUUUCAGUGCGUUCUUGAUAGCAUUUGUGAAGAUUGUUCGGUGAGUUCUUGGCAAAAAGAAAAGGGUUUUUGUAGAAAUAUUAUUUUUGAUAAAUUGUGUUCUUGAAAAAAAUAAAAACCUAAUUAUUAUGAAAUCAUCAAAGUUCGAUCAAUUAUUAGGAUGCCCCACUGUUAUUUUCUUCAUCUUCGUUGAGUUGUAUAUUUAUGUUGAAUUUGAGUUAUUGACGCAUCAGAUUAUUAGACUAGUUGAUACCAAUGUUCUUGAUAAUAUCACAAGUCCUCAUCUUUCAUUUUCAAUACGCUCUUGAUAGCAUCUCUGAAGAUUUUUCAGCGAGUUCUUGGCAAAAAGAAAAGGGUUUUUGCAGAAAUCUUGUUUGGUAAAUUGGGUUCUUGAAAAAUAAAAUAACUAAUCAUUAUGAAACCAUCAGAGUUUGAUCAAUUACUAGGAUGCUUAACUGUUAUUUUCUUCAUUUUUGCUGAGUUUUGUAUUCAUGUUUAAUUUGAGUUCUUGAUGCAUCAGAUUAUUAGACUAGUUGAUAGUAUUGUUCUUGAUAACGUCGUAAUUUUUCAUCUUUCAUGUUCUAUGCAUCAUUGAUAGCAUCUCAGAAGAUUUUUCAGAGAGUUCUUGGCUAAAAGAAAAGGUCUUUUGUAGAAAUCUUAUUUUGGUAAAUGGUGUUCUUGAACAAAAUAAAAUAAAAAACUAAUUAUUACGAAACCAUCAAAGUCUAAUUAAUUAUUAGGAUGCCCCAAUUGUUAUUUUCUUAUUAUAACCCCUCCUACCAUUGUCUUCAUUGUUAAUUUUGUUUAAAAAUUGCGUGUAACACAUGUUGAAAGAGGAAUUUGAAAUAAAUGAGGAGCUUUGUGAAGAAGAAGAGGUAUGAAAUGGUAGGUCAAACCUCGAGUGGUUUCAUAAUAAUUAACCAAAAGAAUAUAAUUAAUCCAAAAAGAAUGGUGUUUUAUCGAAAAGAUUAGUUUCUGAUCACUUUGUUUGCUUGUAACCGGUUGCCUGCUGUAUCAAGCAUGAAGGUACAAAUUUCCUAACUCCCUCCGUGCAAAUUCCAUUCAUGAAUUCCUUGUUCUGUUAACUUCUCUAAGAUCAUCGAAGUUUCAAUGUCUGUUCAGUUGUGGUUCUAAAUUAAACAAUUUUUUAAAGGACUCUGCCAAGGAUAUCUAUAGAAAUAUGAAAGUAAGCGGAGGCUGCCAAAGCAGGGAUCCAACUAAAUUCGCCGCUGCAUGUUUAUACCUAGCAUGUAAAGCGGACGACGCACCUCGAACAUUGAGGGGUAUGUUGUUUUGAGUUAAUUUAAGACAAAGAUUACUCUUUUACCUUUCCAUGCUUAUUUAAGUACAUUCUAGUUCAUGUUGUUUUGAGUUAAUCUAAAACAAAAGAUUAAAUUAGUGCUGCUUGUAUUGGAGAUGGGGGAGCUACAGACAAUAACAUCGCCCAGGAGAGCCAAUUUAUCCUAGAUCAAUUUAAGGAUGCUGGUGAACCAAUGGUACCAGGUUUCACUAAGGCAUCACAGCUCAUGGUAAAUUUCUUAUUUCAAUUUUUUUAUACUUGUAGUUGUAUAUUACAACUUAUGCUAGACUCUAGUUUCAAAUUUUCUAUACUUGUAAUUGUAUAUUUGUCAAAUAAAAUUUAAGAGAACCUUGCAGGGACGAUUUUGUUCAAAGCUCGGCAUGUGCCAUGGAGCUACAAGAGCUGCAAGAGAGGUUGUUCGCAACUUAGAAGAACUCAAUCUAAGGUGUAUAUAGGAGGCUACCUGCAUCUAUUGCGGGGGCGGCAAUUUAUAUGGUUACUCAAUUAUCAGAUGAAAAGAAGCCUUUAAAAGAUAUAGCGCUAGUUACGAAAUGUUCACAGGGAUAUGUACCCGUCAGCUGCUAGAAUCAUACCAAGGUGGUUUAAAACUGAUGUCUCAGCCCUCCGCAAACCCCGUAAUCUCGCCAACUGAAGCCUUACGCAAGGCUGUUCUACAUGGUGCAUUGUAAAGAGAGAUGAACGCAAUUCCGGAGUCCGAUGCGCUUAUAUGGAAGUGGAUGUGGAGGUGAUCUGAGAUUUGUGUUUUGCCGAAAGAAUGAGAUUGAAGAUUUUCUUCUGUUAGAUCUCUUACUGGCUUGGAUCUAUUGAAAACUGAUGUAUUUGGAGUAGGGGGUGUAGCUUUCAUGUUGUAAACAACCAGUUUUUGGGCACUGUAGGAGUCUGACUAAUUUCUAUACUUGUUUCAGUUUUAUACCGUAUCAUAGAUGUAAAGGGAGAGACGUGUAGAUACAUAAUUUGGGGGACUGGGUAAUUUGUAUAGCUUCAGGAGGAUUCUUGUGAUGUGUGUUUCUUGUAUGUUUCCAUGUGUAGUCUCUGUUUGAAGAAAACAAAAGUAUUGCCUUUUCAAAUUGGAGAGGGAUUACACACCUUCAUA